UGAGCCCCCAGGGCACGCACUGCGUGGACAUCGACGAGUGCCGCCAGGUGCCCCCGCCCUGCUCUCCGGGGCGCUGCGAGAAUUCCGUGGGGAGCUUCCGGUGCCUCUGCGGGGCCGGCUUCACCUCCGAGCCCGCGGGCACCGAGUGCCGAGGUCAGCAGCGCACCUGGGCACACCUGGGCACACCUGGAUACACCUGGGUACCCCCAAACCACACCUGGGUACCCCCAAACCACACCNNNNNNNNNNUGGGCGCACCUAGGUGCACCCCAAACCACACCUGGGCACACCUGGGUGCCCCCCAAACUGCACCUGGGCGCACCUGGACGCACCUGGGUGCAUCUGGGUGCCCCCCACACCACACCUGGGCACACCUGGGCACACCUGGGUACCCCCCAAACCACACCUGUGCCCCUCAAACCACACCUGUGCCCACCUGAGCUCACCUGUGCCCACCUGUCCCCAUUACCUGUCCCCACCUGAGCCCACCUGUCCCCAUUACCUGUGCCCACCCAAACCCCACCUGAGCCCACCUGAGCUCACCUGUCCCCAUUACCUGUGCCCACCUGAGCUCACCUGAGCCCACUUGUGCCCACCUCUGCCCACCCAAACCCCACCUGUGCCCACCUGUCCCCACCUGUCCCCAUUACCUGAGCUCACCCAAACCCCACCUGAGCUCACCUGAGCUCACCUGUGCCCCACCUGUGCCCCCCAAACCCCACCUGAGCUCACCUGUGCCCACCUGUGCCCACCUGUGCCCACCUGUGCCCCCCCAAACCCCACCUGAGCUCACCUGAGCUCACCUGAGCUCACCUGUGCCCACCUGUGCCCACCCGUGCCCACCCGUGCCCACCCGUGCCCACCUGAGCCCACCUGAGCCCACCUGUGCCCACCUGUGCCCGCAGACAUUGACGAGUGCCGCCAGGUGCCCCCGCCCUGCUCUCCGGGGCGCUGCGAGAAUUCCGUGGGGAGCUUCCGGUGCCUCUGCGGCGCCGGCUUCACCUCCGAGCCCGCGGGCACCGAGUGCCGAGGUCAGCGGCGCACCUGGGCACACCUGGGCACACCUGGAUACACCUGGGUACCCCCAAACCACACCUGGGUACCCCCAAACCACACCUGGGCGCACCUGGGUACCCCCAAACCACACCUGGGCACACCUG
rnacentral:lncRNA from 1 species